GAGGACGCGGCAGGCCGGGCGGAGGGUGCCGCGGGCGGCCCCUGAGGCGCGGGGGUACCCGAGGCGGGCGCGGGGCGUUGUCACUGCCGCGGGGGUGACAGCGCGGCCCCUCGGCGGGAUGCGGUGCCGCAGGUGUGUGCCCUCUGCCUUGCUCAGGCCUGCACCAGGCUCACCCGGGGCCUUCAGUGCGGGAAGAGCAUCCAGGAGGAGUGGCUGGGACGCUCCAGGCUGGCAGUCAGCGGAGAGCUGGACACGGAUCUGAAAGUGCUACAAGACAGAGAACAAGACAUCACCACAGGCGGCGAGUGCAAAUCUGACUGACUGAACCACGUCCCAGAACAGCCAACAUGGAUGGUCCCAAAAGGACUGUGACUACGUCAUCAUAGGCUGGAAGGUCAGAGUUGCACAUCAAUACCCCACAGCAUCUCAUUCCUUUAUUUCACAAAUGCAUUAAGAAUCCUUUUCUCUCUUUUUCAAAGCAGUUCAAGUGCUUUGAGGCUUUCAAUCAUUGAUGUUCUUCUCUGCAUCAGGAUAAGAUGAGGUACAUAUCCCCCUCCCCUCCAAAGGGGGCUUCCCUGAAGCCUGCCUGGGCAGUGAGUGUGCAGGGUCCCAGCAGGCAGGCUGGCAUUCUGUCCUGAACCUAUCCUUCAGAAACCUGGGCUUUUGCAGCUUGCAGAACAGCAUGGCAGGCGCUCAUACUGCAUCACGUGGGAAGGCAAUGUCAUUCUGAGCUCCAUUCCACUCCCCUCACCACUUGUUCCAGCUUUUGUCCAACACUCUAAAUCUGGGUUUUACGAUGCUUUAAGAGCAGCCUCCUAUGGAAGAGUCUCCAUCACCAAGGGCUCCUCGUGCU